CCCCCGAGGGCAGAGCCGGCCCCGGGAGCCGGGGCUGGGCCGAGCCGGGCUGCCCGCCGCUGUUUAUUCCAUGGUCUGCCGCUGGAAAGCGGCUCCAUCAGCUCCGGCAUCGGCUCUGCAUCCUGAGCGGAUCCGCGAUCGGCCGGGGAGGGGAGGAGGCAGCGGCGGCUCUGCCCAGCAGCCCUGAGCCCUUCCCGGAGCUCCUGAGCCCUUCCCGGAGCUUCUGAGACCUUCCCGGAGCUUCUGAGACCUUCCCGGAGCUCCUGAGCGCUUCCCGGAGAUCCUGAGCCCAAACCGGAGCUCCUGAGCUCUGCCCGGAGAUCCUGAGCCCUGCCCGGAGCUCCUGAGCCCUCCCCGGAGCUCCUGAGCCCUUCCCGGAGCCCUUCCCGGAGAUCCUGAGCCUUUCCCGGAGAUCCUGUGCCCUUCCCGGAGCCUUUCCCGGAGAUCCUGAGCCCUUCCCGGAGCCUUUCCCGGAGAUCCUGAGCUCUUCCUGGAGCCCUUCCCGGAGCUCUGGAGCUUUUCCCGGAGCCCUUCCCGGAGCUCCGCAGCCCCUGCCCCGCCGCCCCCUCCCUCCCUCGCCAUGCUGGACAUUUUCAUCCUGAUGUUCUUCGCCAUCAUCGGCCUGGUGAUCCUGUCCUACAUCAUCUACAUGCUCUAGACAGGAACCGCGGCGGGUUCGGCUCGGCAGCAGCCGGGCCAGCCUCCGCCCGGUGCGCGUCCCUCGGAGCCUUCUGGAACAGCGUUAACCCCUGCGAGCCCAGCGCCGAGCCGGGGAUGGGGGGACACGGGAGGGGGCUGCGGGGGGAUGUUCCGCGGCUGGGACCCGGCUAAUCCCGCUGCCAGGACCCGUGUCCUUCCCCCUGCCAGGACCUGUGUCCUUCCCCCUGCCAGGACCUGUGUCCUUCCUGCUGCCAGGACCCGGUUAAUCCCGCUGCCAGGACCUGUGUCCUUCCCCCUGCCGGGACCUGUGUCCUUCCCCCUGCCAGGACCUGGCUAAUGCUGCUGUCAGGACCUGGCUAAUCCCCCUGCCAGGACCCGUGUCUUUCCCGCUGCCAGGACCUGGCUAAUCCCCCUGACAGGACCCGUGUCCUUCCCCCUGCCAGGACCCGUGUCCUUUCCCCCUGCCAGGACCUGGGAUGUCCCCGCGGGGUCCCCAGGGGGGUGCUGGGUCCUGUCCCCCCCUUUGUGUCGCGUCCGAGGCCGCUCCUGCGGGUUUAAUUUGGGGAAAUUUCUGUUUUUGCUGAGCGGCGCUCAGGGAAUGGAGGAAUAAAGAGGAAGGAGAGGGA